CCGUGAGCCAAAUUUUUGUACCUUUAUUGUACCUUCAUAUUCAAUUAUAAUAUAAGCCAUUUUAUUUGCGGUUUCCAAGUUUUACUCAUUUUAUAUUUUGCUUGCUAUUACAAUUUCGCAGGCGUAAUCAUUUUUCAAGUUAUCGAUCUCAUUUUUAAGAAAAAACGCUAAGGUACAAUUAUUUUUAUUACGCCAGGAAUUAGUACCUUUAAUGUUUUCGAAUAUCAUUUUUUUCUAAACUGAAUAGUUUGCGCGAGAGACACUUCCAAAUUGGAAAAAUGUGUGCCCCCCUGUAACUUCUAAAAUAACAGAAUGAAAAAUCUAAAAACAAUAUAUGACACACAUUAUAGUCACAUUACCAUGCAAACUUCCACCGAAAAUUGGUUUGAUCGAGAUCUAGUAAGUAGUUUUUUUUUAAUACGUCAUAAAUGGUACGGAACCCUUCAUGGGCGAGUCCGACUCGCACUUGGCCGCUUUUUGAUGAUAACUUUAUGUACCGUGAGGUACAAUUUUUUCUAACGGUGGUAGUAUAUAGUACAAAUUAGGUACAAAAAUAUGGUAUGCUUUUCAUUUAUUUUUAUUUAGCUACACCCGCCAUUCUGACUCACCUUUAUUAGGCUAUGAUCCCGUGGUUAUUGAUAAAUUCUAUAAAAGUCAAUUUUUUGUACGUUCAAAUUCAAUUAUAAUAUGAGCUAUUUUA